AUUGAACGCUGGCGGCAUGCUUUACACAUGCAAGUCGAACGGUAACAGGCCGCAAGGUGCUGACGAGUGGCGAACGGGUGAGUAAUGCAUCGGAACGUGCCCAGUCGUGGGGGAUAACGCAGCGAAAGCUGUGCUAAUACCGCAUACGAUCUAUGGAUGAAAGCGGGGGACCGUAAGGCCUCGCGCGAUUGGAGCGGCCGAUGUCAGAUUAGGUAGUUGGUGGGGUAAAGGCCUACCAAGCCGACGAUCUGUAGCUGGUCUGAGAGGACGACCAGCCACACUGGGACUGAGACACGGCCCAGACUCCUACGGGAGGCAGCAGUGGGGAAUGUUGGACAAUGGGCGCAAGCCUGAUCCAGCAAUGCCGCGUGCAGGAAGAAGGCCUUCGGGUUGUAAACUGCUUUUGUACGGAACGAAACGGCCUGGGUUAAUACCCUGGGCUAAUGACGGUACCGUAAGAAUAAGCACCGGCUAACUACGUGCCAGCCGCCGCAGUAAUAC
rnacentral:rRNA from 1 species